UUUCCGUAGGUGAACCUGCGGAAGGAUCAUUCAUAAUAAAGUGUUUUAUGGCACUUUUUAAAAAUCCAUAUCCACCUUGUGUGCAAUGUUAGAUCUCGUCAAUCAUGGCGAGGUUUUUAUACAUCAACUCAUUCUUUAACUAAUUUGUCUGAAAAAUAUUAUGAAUACUUAAUUCAAAAUACAACUUUCAACAACGGAUCUCUUGGCUCUC
rnacentral:misc_RNA from 1 species